rnacentral:rRNA from 1 species
CCCUUAGAUGUUCUGGGCCGCACGCGCGCUACACUGGUGCAUUCAACGAGUCUAAAACCUGGUCUGAUAGGGCUGGGUAAUCUUUUGAAUGUGCAUCGUGAUUGGGAUAGAUGAUUGCAAUUCUUCAUCUUCAACGAGGAAUGCCUAGUAAACGCAAGUCAUCAGCUUGCAUUGAUUACGUCCCUGCCCUUUGUACACACCGCCCGUCGCUCCUACCGAUUGAAUGUUCCGAUGAAUACCAUGGACUGAGAGUAUGAAUGGGUUCGCCUAUUUCUGCUUCUCGGGAAGUGGAGUAAAUCUUAACAUUUAGAGGAAGGAGAAGUCGUAACA